UACGGGGGGGGCAAGCGUUGUUCGGAAUUACUGGGCGUAAAGGGCUCGUAGGUGGCCAACUAAGUCAGACGUGAAAUCCCUCGGCUUAACCGGGGAACUGCGUCUGAUACUGGAUGGCUUGAGAUUGGGAGAGGGAUGCGGAAUUCCAGGUGUAGCGGUGAAAUGCGUAGAUAUCUGGAGGAACACCGGUGGCGAAGGCGGCAUCCUGGACGGGUACUGACGCUGAAGCGCGAAAGCUAGGGGAGCAAACAGG
rnacentral:rRNA from 1 species